UGCCAAUUCUUAUGUUUUGUACAAUAAGAGAUGAGGUGUAAAGGUGUUUCGUGUUCAAUAGGAGCACAGCUUAAUUAUUAUUGAGUGAGUGCUCAGAGAAGGUGACAAGCCUGUGUAGUUGUGCUUCCCUGUUGAACUGCAACACUGAAGAGUCUAGUUGUUUGAGAGUACAACUUAAAGCUGGUGGUAAAUUUCAUCAAAGGCUAAAUAUAUGAGGGGACUAAUAGCGAACAAGUACCAUGAGGGAAAGUUGAAAAGAACUCUGACGAGAGAGUUCAAUAGUACGUGAAACCAUAUUGAGUAAAACAGAUAACUGUGCUGUUAUGUGGUGUGCCUAUCAACAGUUUAUUUGGUGUUGUGAUGCCUUGAGUGUAGGUUGUCUAUUCAGCUGAUUGCUCGAGGUUGGCAUAACCAGACAUUCUGUGCAAUAGUGCGCACUCGAUCAUUGAGAAACUAUGCUGCUGCGGCAUCGGAAUGUAACAGUCCGUACUUAGUGCAAAGUUGCAUGCUGGGUGCAGCUGGCUGGCGUGGUUUAGCUGUGUGACAGCUGUGGGCUGCGUUUAUGACAGGUUUCUGCUGUAUCUGCGAAUUGGUUUAUUCCUUUUUGCGGCGAGCACGUGAUCGUCAGUAAGCGGCCUGCCAUCAAUGCUUAGCAUUAGUUAUUUGACCCGUCUUGAAACACGGACCAAGGAGUUCAAAUGGCACGCGAGUCAUUGGGUUUUGGCACCCGAAGGCGAAGUGAAAUGCAAACAUAUUGUUAUUUGUGGUUGUUCCAUGAUUAAGCGAUAAGCUACUCAUGCUUUCCGGCAUUUGUAGACUACAAGCGUGAUGU
rnacentral:rRNA from 1 species